UACGGAGGGUGCAAGCGUUAUCCGGAUUCACUGGGUUUAAAGCGUGCGCAGGCGGUUUUGUAAGCCAGAUGUGAAAGCCCCGGGCUUAACCUGGGAAUGGCAUUUGGGACUGCAAGGCUUGAGUGCGGCAGAGGAGACUGGAAUUCCUGGUGUAGCAGUGAAAUGCGUAGAGAUCAGGAAGAACACCGGUGGCGAAGGCGCUCUGCUAGGCCGCAACUGACAGCUGAGGGACGAAAGCUAGGGAGCGAAUGGG
rnacentral:rRNA from 1 species